rnacentral:rRNA from 1 species
CCUACGGGAGGCAGCAGUGAGGAAUAUUGGUCAAUGGGCGAGAGCCUGAACCAGCCAAGUAGCGUGCAGGAAGACUGCCCUAUGGGUUGUAAACUGCUUUUAUCAGGGAAUAAAGUGCGGCACCGUGUGCCGUUUUGUAUGUACCCUGAUGAAUAAGGACCCGGCCUAAUUCCCGUGCCCAGCAGCCCCGCGGUAAU